rnacentral:rRNA from 1 species
UGGGGAAUAUUGGACAAUGGGGGCAACCCUGAUCCAGCGAUGCCGCGUGGGUGAAGAAGGCCUUCGGGUUGUAAAGCCCUUUAGGUUGGGACGAAGGUUAUGCGGUUAAUACCCGUGUAAUUUGACGGUACCGACAGAAUAAGCACCGGCAAACUCUGUGCCAGCAGCCGCGGUAAUACAGAGGGUGCGAGCGUUAAUCGGAUUUACUGGGCGUAAAGGGCGCGUAGGCGGUAAGAUGUGUGUGAUGUGAAAGCCCCGGGCUUAACCUGGGAAGUGCAUUGCAAACUAUUUAACUAGAGUAUAUGAGAGGGUGGCGGAAUUUCCGGUGUAGCGGUGAAAUGCGUAGAGAUCGGAAGGAACGUCAAUGGCGAAGGCAGCCACCUGGCAUAAUACUGACGCUGAGGCGCGAAAGCGUGGGGAGCGAACAGGAUUAGAUACCCCGGUAGUCC